rfam:Triticum aestivum genome assembly, contig: Triticum_aestivum_CS42_TGACv1_scaffold_569734_7AS
GAAAGCCGUGUGCAAUGAAAAAUGCAAGCACGAUUUGGGAAGGGAUUUUUCUCUAUUGUAACAAGGAAAAAUUAUCUACUCCAU